rnacentral:rRNA from 1 species
GGAGGCAGCAGUGGGGAAUUUUGGACAAUGGGCGAAAGCCUGAUCCAGCAAUGCCGCGUGUGUGAAGAAGGCCUUCGGGUUGUAAAGCACUUUUGUCCGGAAAGAAAUGGCUCUGGUUAAUACCUGGGGUCGAUGACGGUACCGGAAGAAUGAGGACCGGCUAACUACGUGCCAGCAGCCGCGGUAAUACGUAGGGUCCAAGCGUUAAUCGGAAUUACUGGGCGUAAAGCGUGCGCAGGCGGUUGUGCAAGACCGAUGUGAAAUCCCCGAGCUUAACUUGGGAAUUGCAUUGGUGACUGCACGGCUAGAGUGUGUCAGAGGGGGGUAGAAUUCCACGUGUAGCAGUGAAAUGCGUAGAGAUGUGGAGGAAUACCGAUGGCGAAGGCAGCCCCCUGGGAUAACACUGACGCUCAUGCACGAAAGCGUGGGGAGCAAACAGGAUUAGAUACCCUGGUAGUCCACGCCCUAAACGAUGUCAACUAGUUGUUGGGGAUUCAUUUCCUUAGUAACGUAGCUGACGCGUGAAGUUGACCGCCUGGGGAGUACGGUCGCAAGAUUAAAACUCAAAGGAAUUGACGG